GAGAGAGAGAGAGAGAGAGUCAUCAGGUGUGGGGUGUGAUUGGUCAGCAGGUAUGGGGUGUGGUUGAUCAGCAGGUGUGGGGUGUGGUUGAUCAUCAGGUGUGGGGUGUGAUUGAUCAGCAGGUAUGGGGUGUGGUUGGUCAGCAGGUGUGGGGUGUGGUUGGUCAGCAGGUGUGGGGUGUGGUUGAUCAGCAGGUGUGGGGUGUGGUUGAUCAGCAGGUGUGGGGUGUGAUUGAUCAGCAGGUGUGGGGUGUGGUUGAUCAGCAGGUGUGGGGUGUGGUUGAUCAGCAGGUGUGGGGUGUGAUUGGUCAGCAGGUGUGGGGUGUGAUUG